rnacentral:rRNA from 1 species
CACUAUAUCAUCUUGAAUACAUCUGAUCUCAUCUGAUUUUGGAAGCUAAGCAUGGUCACACUUGGUUACUACUUGGAGAGCAGAUCACCAAGGAACCCCAUUAGAAGUGU